GAUAAAAUUUUAUAUUUUUUAUAAUUUAUUAUAAAUUUAUUUUACAUAUAAAUUUUAGUAUAUAAUUUUAAUUAUUUUAAUAAUAAUUAAUUAAUAAAUUUAGUAAUUAAAAUUAAAAAUUUAAGAAAUUAAGAUUUAGUAAUAUAAAAAUUAAUAACUAAUUUUGUGCCAGCAGUUGCGGUUAAACAAAAAUUAAAUUAAAUUAUUUCAGUAUAUAAUAAAUAUAAAUAUUUUAAAUUAAAUAUUGAAUUAUUAAGUGAAAUUUUAAUUUAAUUAAAUUUUAUAAUAAAUUUAUGAUUUAAUAAAUUUUAAUAUAAACUAGGAUUAGAUACCCUAUUAUUAAAAAUUUAAAUUUUAAUACUAAAAUAGUAAAUAGAUAAUAUUGAAACUUAAAUAAUAUGGCGGUAUUUUAGUUCAUUUAGAGGAAUCUGUCUAAUAAUUGAUAAUCCACGAAUAAAUUUACUUAAUUUAAAAUUUUGUAUAUCAUUGUAAAAAAAAUAUUUUUAAAUAAAAAUAAUAUUUAAAAAUUUAAAUUAAAAAUUAAUUCAGAUCAAGAUGCAGAUUAUAAUUAAGCUUAUGAUGGAUUACAAUAAAUAUAUUUAAAUGAAUAAAAAUUUGUAAUUAUAAUUGAAGGUGGAUUUAAAUGUAAUUUUAAUUAGUUUAUUAAAAUGAUUUAUAAUUAAAAUAUGUACAUAUUGCCCGUCACUUUCAUUUAAAAAUUGGAAUAAGUCGUAACAAAGUAGAGGUACUGGAAAGUGUUUCUAGAAUGU
rnacentral:ncRNA from 1 species